UUUUAGUUGUAUUUGCUUUUACUGUGAAUAAGAUCCUAGAACGAACGCCACACGUUUGUAUUUAAAUUCUGCUCUGCUUUCUGUUAUGAUGAUGCCAACAAUCAUGCAAACCCCCUGCCGAUACUAAAAUAGUAUCAAUAAACAUCACAUUGUAUGUGUAUUCCUUUAGACUAAUUCAACAGAGAGUUUAGAAAUCAGCACAGUGUAGCUGGUUAUUACCCACAAUGCCUUAGUUUGUCGUUAUAGGGCAGUUUAUCAGAGCGAAUGUGCGAUGCAGAUACCAGAGGCCAUAAAAAGGAGAAUCAUGUCUUCUGAUAAACAUGCAAAUGAUUCCUAAUGCUAAAAUUACACAAAUUUCGUACAGCUCCAGGGCAAAGCAGCUUCUUAGAAAUCGUUCAGACAGACGGACACAGAUGCUCUAAGAGACUCCGGUCACUUCUGUGAGACACGGACAUGGACACGGACAUGGUCAGCAACAAUACUCAGGAAAAAAACAUGGAUACACUAUCAGUGGUCAAUCAUACAGUAUUUCAUACUGGCACACAAAAUGCUAGCAGGCCCAAAUAUGUGGCUGUAUUCUGAAUUUUUUUUAAAUAUAAAUAAAAAUUACCCAAAAGUGCAACCUGUGACUGGUCAUAUUUAUGUUAGCAAGCCCCAAAGUCACUUCUGAUAAGCAUCCAAGAGCUAAAUGCUGUAAAAUUCUCAUCAUCUCUGCAUAUUUCUCCCACACACUAACAGUGUAAUCUGAUCAGAGUCUAAACAAGCCUGGAUGAAGGAAAGAGGAUGAACCUGUCUGAACGUUACGAACAUAUAGACACGUCUUCAGGUCACAUCUGAUGACGACAGUGUGACCUUUCACACACACACACAAGUGUCACAUCUCAUGAAGAUGCAGAGACUUCACUGAAGAUCUAAUAAUGCCUGUGAUUAGUGAAGCUUUGUCGAGCAGCUGGAGAAGUGUUUGUGUUUGCUGUUAAUUCAACUCCAGACUCUAAUUUCAGAUGAGAUGAGGAGGGGGACGAGAGCCUGGCCCUCUACGCUGUGACAAACGCCACACGGCUUUGUGCUGCUCCCUCGGGACGAUCGGCGGGGAGGAGACAGUGUGGAGGAUCCCAGAACAAAAAAGACAGAGUUAAAGUGAUAGAGAUAUAUUGACAAAAGAUUGAAAGGAUGAAGAGCGAGAGAGAGUGACCCGGUGAAGCACUGACAUUUUUUUUUUCAGAUACUGUUAUGAAACACUGUGGGGGAAUACAUUCAACAUUAUUGUUAGAAUGACUGACACAUUAAGGUUUUUUGUGAUUGUGGUUAUAUAACAUAGCACUUCUCUCCCAUGCUACAUUCAGACUGUAAAACAUUAAAUGCAUUUAGGAAAUGAUGAAAUCUUUUAUAUAACCUGCAAAUUUGCUCUUUUUAUAUAGGGGAAAUGGCCAUUAAUCAAGCUUAUUAAAACUAAUUAACCCAUUUUGCUUCUGCUAACUAGUCGGUUAAAUUUAGGGUAGGCGGUUCAGUAUUAUAGAGCAUUAAAACUAGAGCAAACUGCCAUGAUAUGUAC
ensembl:lncRNA